rnacentral:lncRNA from 1 species
GCAAAAAAAAAAAAAACUUUAUUUACCUCACCAAACCAGUCCGGUUCGCUUCUCUCUUAUCCACAACCUUACGCUGAUUCAAAGCUCGGAUCUGCUCUCUUUUUUUGUCCUUUGAUUCGAAACCAGUGGCUUGCUUCUCUUCGAUCCGGUUCAGGCGCGUUCCUUUUGCUCCGGUUCGGUUUGUUUUGCUUAGAUCCCGUUCGGUUUUGGUACUUUUAUGCUGAGUUGAGUUGACUCUGUUUGUUUAUGGUGAUUUACGUGAUGAUUUGAGUCAGUUUUAUGAGUUUUGGUGAUUAUGUUGAUGUUUGGAAGGUGUUAUGGAGAAUGAAUGUUCAUGAGUUCUUGAUUAGGGGAAAAAUUGAAAAUUCUGAGGCCAAGCCAUGAAUUAGUAAAUUACCAAAUUGCCCCUCUUAGGGGCAAAAGGUAAAAUCAAUUGACAUCACUUUCUAUAUUAGUAUAUAGAUACGGUUGUUGCAUCG